AGAUUUAGAUGCACUAUUGUAAAGUGGCUGUUCCACUGGAUGUCAUAAGGUGAAUGCACCAAUUUGUAAGUCGCUCUGGAUAAGAGCGUCUGCUAAAUUACUUAAAUGUAAAUGUGAGCAAAUGAGGUGAGAUAAGGGAGGUUAAGGCAAAAAAAAGGCCAUGGUGGCAAUGUAAAUACAAUAUAGCAAGUAAAACACUGGAAUUGUAGAUUUGCAGUGGAAGAAUGUGCAAAGUAGAAAUAAAAAUAAUGGGGUAUGAAAAUUUCAUAUCACGGUUAUAGUGACCAAAAUUAUUACGGUUCUCAGUAUUAUCGCGGUAUCGUUAAAAUGUGCUGGAAAUGUGCCCGCUAGCGCUGAACACUCUCUGAUGGCACGCUGGUUGCUUGGAUGCACAAAAGCUUCCUGGCAACACUGGCUAUUUGAGGCAGCUCUGAUGCAUGGCCCCUCCACCACACCAGUGGAUCCUUUUCUGCUGGAAUGGGUGGCAGAGACAGGUAGACCUUGAUCUCUUCUUUCACUCUGUCUUCUGGGGAGGUUGGAAUCUGAUCCUUUUCUGCUGGAAUGGGUGGCAGAGACAGGUAGACCUUGAUCUCUUCUUUCACUCUGUCUUCUGGGGAGGUUGGAAUCUGAUCCUCUUCUGCUGGAAUGGGAGGCAGAGACAGGUAGACCUUGAUCUCUUCUUUCACUCUGUCUUCUGGGGUGGUCGGAAUCUGAUCCUUUUCUGCUGGAAUGGUUGGCAGAGACAGGUAGACCUUGAUCUCUUCUUUCACUCUGUCUUCUGGGGUGGUCGGAAUCUGAUCCUCUUCUGCUGGAAUGGUUGGCAGAGACAGGUAGACCUUGAUCUCUUCUUUCACUCUGUCUUCUGGGGAGGUUGGAAUCUGAUCCUCUUCUGCUGGAAUGGUUGGCAGAGACAGGUAGACCUUGAUCUCUUCUUUCACUCUGUCUUCUGGGGAGGUUGGAAUCUGAUCCUCUUCUGCUGGAAUGGUUGGCAGAGACAGGUAGACCUUGAUCUCUUCUUUCACUCUGUCUUCUGGGGAGGUUGGAAUCUGAUCCUCUUCUGCUGGAAUGGUUGGCAGAGACAGGUAGACCUUGAUCUCUUCUUUCACUCUGUCUUCUGGGGAGGUUGGAAUCUGAUCCUCUUCUGCUGGAAUGGGAGGCAGAGACAGGUAGACCUUGAUCUCUUCUUUCACUCUGUCUUCUGGGGAGGUUGGAAUCUGAUCCUCUUCUGCUGGAAUGGGAGGCAGAGACAGGUAGACCUUGAUCUCUUCUUUCACUCUGUCUUCUGGGGAGGUUGGAAUCUGAUCCUCUUCUGCUGGAAUGGGUGGCAGAGACAGGUAGACCUUGAUCUCUUCUUUCACUCUGUCUUCUGGGGUGGUCGGAAUCUGAUCCUUUUCUGCUGGAAUGGUUGGCAGAGACAGGUAGACCUUGAUCUCUUCUUUCACUCUGUCUUCUGGGGAGGUUGGAAUCUGAUCCUCUUCUGCUGGAAUGGGAGGCAGAGACAGGUAGACCUUGAUCUCUUCUUUCACUCUGUCUUCUGGGGAGGUUGGAAUCUGAUCCUCUUCUGCUGGAAUGGGUGGCAGAGACAGGUAGACCUUGAUCUCUUCUUUCACUCUGUCUUCUGGGGAGGUUGGAAUCUGAUCCUCUUCUGCUGGAAUGGUUGGCAGAGACAGGUAGACCUUGAUCUCUUCUUUCACUCUGUCUUCUGGGGAGGUUGGAAUCUGAUCCUCUUCUGCUGGAAUGGUUGGCAGAGACAGGUAGACCUUGAUCUCUUCUUUCACUCUGUCUUCUGGGGAGGUUGGAAUCUGACCCUCUUCACCUCUCUGCUGCCUUGUUGAGGUAAUGUUUCUCAGCAACCCAGCGAGGCCUUUCCCCUCUGAUGCCGCUGUGUUGGUGGUGGAGGUGCUGCUGGUGCUUUGUGUUUCUUCCCUGACUUGUGCAGCUGCCAGCUUCAAGGCCUCCUGGACACAGCUGUCAGUAUCAACUUUUACAGCCUCAGGCUCAUCUAAAAAGCGCCUUUUGAAGCGGGGGUCAAUGAAACAAGCCAUGUUGCAUGACUCUCUUUGCCUUCUCUGUGUAUCUGUUGUUAACCUCUCUGCGCACCGAACCCGUUAGCGGGAUUAAAUUCCACAACAUACGGUGAUCGCUACAUAAAUAGUCAUAUUAAACAUUCAUGACAAUACAAGUGUCUCACAUGGGUCGAAAGUCUAGAAUCUUGCUAAUCCAACUGCGUUGUCAGAUUUAAAAAAAGAUUUACUGCGAAAGAAUACGAUGCGAUUAUCUGAGAACAAAGCCCCAAAACUAUUUCAACCAGCACAGGCGUAACAACAUCACAAACUGCAAUAAAAUAAAUGGUUUACCUUUGAUGAUCUUCAUCUGUUUGCAAUCCCAAUGCUCAUUGUUACACAAUGAAUGGUCUUUUGUUUUAUAAAAUACAUUUUUAUAGCCUAACACGAAACAUUUUGGGAACCGCUUGUGUCGUGAAUUCCGUCUCAUUCCAUUUUCGGCGACACAUUCGAUGUAAAUACACACACUAAACGUGACUUUUCCAGUCUUGUUUGGUUUCAUUGCAAUCAACUGGUUUGUUUGUAACACAACCAAACGUGAUGGGUCAUUUCGCGGGACGUAUUGACUGAAAGAAACCGAUUUGAAGACAACAAGUAAUGACAUCAUUGUGCACCAAUGAUAUGACCGCUGUUUCAUUGAUUGACUGUAUUUUAACCCAAUGACCACUGAUCGUCUUGAAAUCUAGCUGGGUAGAGAGCCAAUGAGCUGAGGUAAACAGCAAUAUGUAAUGUUUAUGUGUUGGAAGACCAACCCAUGUAGUAAACUCCGGCGUAAAGAGGGUCAUUUGCCAUUGAAGUUUCAUACCGGAAGGAGCCCACGCAUGUUACGCACAGCAUUGUUUUGGUAAAGCGCAUCUUCAGCUGUUUAUAUAUCAAUCAGUAUGGCGACUAAGUUAGGGAAAGCUAAAUCUAAGUCUAGAUAUACAGGUGUACACACAAAAAAAAAGUGAGACAGAGAUUAUUGGAGGGCGAUUCAUUUAGCGAUUCCCAAAUGGAGGAAUAUUUUUUGAACGGAGAGGACAUCGUUUUGGACUGGUAAAUUCUUCUCAUGCUAAUGCCUUUGUUUGAAAUUAAUAAUAUAAAAUAUUAUUUGUGAUUUUUUUUAAAUUUUAGUAGCAAUAUAUAAAAAUGUAAUGAAAUGUGUAAAGUACACGUUGGAUAUACAUUGUGGGUGGGGGUAUGUUUGUAUGUAUGUUUAUGACACAUAACCUAUGUUUGUGUGUGUAUCUAUACAUAUUGUGGAUUAGAGGGAGCAUGGCCGAGAUGCGUGUGUCUGCCGCUCCAGCCCACCCCACCCCCACAUGAAAUAGCCUAUUUGAGGCUGUUUAGGGGAGGGCAGGCCCACAACAAUGGCCAAAGUGAAAUGGAGACAGUAGAUACAGCUGGUCUGUUGUAAUAUAAUAGAGACAGUAGAUCUAGCUGAAAUGUCAUAAUAUAAAAUAGACAGUAGAUCUAGCUGAUCUGUCAUAAUAUAAAUUAGACAGUAGAUCUAGCAGGUCAAUAAUAAUAUAUUCAACCUUAUGUUCCCUGUACUCUAUAUAUAUAUAUGUUUAUUAUACCUGUUGAUACAGGGCUCAUAUGUGAAACUAUUCUAACUGAACAUUUUCUUUCACAGUGACACUGACUCCGAAUGGGAGCCCCCAGUGCCAAGGUGUCCAUCCCCCACUGAAGCUGGUUCAUCCAGCUCCUGCCACAAGUGGUGUUCAUCUGCCCAAAUUGAGUCAAACUUUUUCCAACAUCAGCUUUAACCUGGUUGUACAGGUUUGGGAUUUCAGGCGUGACAAAGAAUGUUCGUGAUGGCACUUCGUAGUGAGGCACGGCAUCCUUCAUCAGCCUCAGAAAGCCAGGCCUCUCAACAAUUUGAAAUGGCAUCAUGUCCUUUGCAAUGUAGUAUGAAAGGGCUGCAGUGAGGUCUUGAGCAUGUUUUGAUGUGGGUGCAUAGGCAGCCUGUCUUUGAAAUGCUUACUGGAGUGUCCCUUGUAAACAAGGGAAUAGCAAAUGUAUUAUUAUUAUUGGUGUUACAUUGUUAAUUAUUAUUACACACUCACCUCAUUCUCACACACACACACAUACAUACAGGUCCAAACACUUAAAAGACACACCUAUCCCCUCAGCCCUCAAAUGAAGUGGACACUUCUGAUGACGUAUCAUGACAUCUGACGAGUAAACAAGGGGUGGGGGAAGAAGGAAUGAUUUUUAAAUGGACGCCCUUCAUCCCGCAACGAUUGUGUUUUCAGCCUCCAGUAGCUUGUGGAUGCUUUAUAUGCGCUACAGUCAAUUAUCAGUGCAUGUCUACUUAUAUUAAAAAUAUAAUUAUUAAUAUACGCCUACUGUAUGACAGCUAGAAAAUUAAUUAGCUAACUAACGUCAGCCUGCCUAGCUGGAACUUCUGAAGAAAAAUGUUUUAUUUCUACAAAAACAUAUUUACUUUUUACGAGACGUGUUUGUGCCAUCAUGUGCAUUAGUAGCACAAUUUCUAACUUGCAUUCGUUUUUACUUACACUUGAAAGUUGACUUCUCCAUUGAUGUUGUUAAGUUUUCGCUGACUUUUCUUAGAGGAUGUGAACAUAAUUGUACACUGGCAAAGCCGACUAAAAAUGAGGGCUGAGGGGAUUACAUUGCAAACGUCCUUUGCUUGGCUAAUCAUUUGACCAUCCUCCAAGAUGGCGACGGGGAUUCCUCCAAGGGCAUAAGGCGAGGGUGAGUGGACGAGGGUGUGUCUUAAGUGUUUGGAACACAGCCCCUGUCUGUCUUCUGUGUUGCAUUUGAGUAUAUGCAAUGACCCCGUGCUCAAUUUACAGAAAUACAAAUGUGUUUUAAGAAGACAGUUAUAGUAAUUGCAAUGAGCCCAACAAUUGACAUAAAUAUAGGAGUAUAUCGUGUUUUCCUGUUAGAACACUUUUACAACCAAGUUGACGACUGACAGAUUUUAAAUGAACAAAAUAUGUUGGUUGGGUGACUAAACUACCGUGUGCAAUGGGUGAAUAGAGUCUGCAGACACACAAAGCAUACAGCAGCAGAACAACGUGUAGUCUUUUUACAAGAGUAGGUAACACUGACAACUUCAGUUUACAUUAUUGACAAGCUAUUAGCAAGUUAGACAGACAAACCAUGACAUUUUCCUCCAUUUCGAAGUCCCCACAUCAUGCAUUGAGCUAAAAGUGAACUUACCUUGCAUUCACUAUAAAGUAGUGUGUGGUGGUCACGAAGAUGACUCGAGAGAUUUGAAGUGUUGCCCCUUUUCGCAGCAAUUUUCUUUUGCUUGUUCUGCAGAGAUGGUGACCAUCUUCGAUUAAGUUUCCCUCAGCACUUUUGUAAAACCCAAAAAACGACCACACUUCAGAUUUGAAUUUGACCAUGGUUUAUCGUGAAACCGGUAACCGUUUCAUCCCUUACUGCAACUUGUCAUCCCUGUACUUAGAUGACUACAGUAAGGUGGAUGUGGCGUUCAGUCCUGCAGUGCAGCAGCAGGCUCAGAAGGACAAGAGGGAGAAGGACCAGGUCCACCUGUUAGCCCUGAGCUUCACCCAGCAGCAGCAUGGCCUGCGUCUGGCCCAGCAGUACAAUGUCAGCAGCAGUAAGCUAAAGGGCAGCCUAGAGGACAAGCAGUGCCGCCUGGGUUCUCUAAAACAGUCCAGCCACCAACACAGCCUCCCAGACCCCAGCUUCCCUGUUCCAGCAGAUCUCCUUCUGCGUGAAGGGCAGACCGAGGACAGUACACCUGUGCAACUCAUCACAUAUGUCCAGCUAUCAUCUGGGCCAGGGGACCAAAGCAACUAGACCAAGAACCCGAUCCAGGUGAUCUCUAGCUCAGUGACAGCCCAGCCUCAGCAGCCACAGAACCAGCUCACUGUUAACUCUGAGCCCAGGGACCUCUCUAGAAUCCUGGCGCUGACUGUGGAGCUACCAAAUGUUCACUCCAUCACAGAGUGCCAUCUCAUCAUUUCCUAGGUCAGGGACCACUCUAGAAUCCUGGAGCUGACUGUGGAGCUACCAAAGGUUCAGUCCAUCACAGAGUGCCAUCUCAUCAUUUCCUAGGUCAGGGACCACUCUAGAAUCCUGGAGCUGACUGUGGAGCUACCAAAGGUUCAGUCCAUCACAGAGUGCCAUCUCAUCAUUUCCUAGGUCAGGGACCUCUCUAGAAUCCUGGAGCUGACUGUGGAGCUACCAAAGGUUCAGUCCAUCACAGAGUGCCAUCUCAUCAUUUCCUAGGUCAGGGACCUCUCUAGAAUCCUGGAGCUGACUGUGGAGCUACCAAAGGUUCAGUCCAUCACAGAGUGCCAUCUCAUCAUUUCCUAGGUCAGGGACCACUCUAGAAUCCUGGAGCUGACUGUGGAGCUACCAAAGGUUCAGUCCAUCACAGAGUGCCAUCUCAUCAUUUCCUAGGCCAGGGACCUCUCUAGAAUCCUAGAGCUGACUGGAGCUACCAAAGGUUCAGUCCAUCACAGAGUGCCAUCUCAUCAUUUCCUAGGUCAGGGACCACUCUGCUUCCCCUUUCCCUUGUGCUAUGAAUAAGGCCCUGUGACAGAUUAACAAAAAUGAUGUUGAUUUUGCUUAAGCGCUUCCUAUGUUGACAUAAAAGCCUGUUACAUUAUAAGUUAUCCUUUCUGUGGUCUUGUUGGUCUAAAAGUUUGUGUGUAUUUCUCUAUAAUAUGAUAUACUACUAGAAGUGGAGGAAAUCAAUCCAUCUACACCUGGAGCUGCCUGAGACUGUGAAUGAGGAGUCGGCCUCUGCCACGUUCAACAAGAAACGGACAUUAACUUUGCAAGUGUCUAUACUCUAGUGCCGUUACUGCAGACACUAAAAGCACACACGUUAAUAGACAAAAAAACUAAACACUGUCUGCUCUGGCAUGUCACACUUACACCCAGUAGGUGAUUUGUCUCUAUGAAGGGACACGGAACUUUGGAAAUAUAAGAAGGCCAUUAGAGAAAGCAGUAACUUCAGUUACCUCAAAGCAAAUGGACCAAAAUAAAUGUAAUUUCUGCUAUGCAUCCUACAAGCUGUGGGUCUGAACCUUUGUAGUAGUAAACAGUACCUCAGUAAAGA